rnacentral:rRNA from 1 species
UGGUUGAUCCUGCCAGAAGUCAUAUGCUUGUCUCAAAGAUUAAGCCAUGCAUGUCUAAGUAUAAGCAAUCUAUACGGUGAAACUGCGAAUGGCUCAUUAAAUCAGUUAUCGUUUAUUUGAUAGUACCUUACUACAUGGAUACCUGUGGUAAUUCUAGAGCUAAUACAUGCUGAAAACCUCGACUUCGGAAGGGGUGUAUUUAUUAGAUAAAAAACCAAUGCCCUUCGGGGCUCCUUGGUGAUUCAUAAUAACUAAACGAAUCGCAUGGCCUUGCGCCGGCGAUGGUUCAUUCAAAUUUCUGCCCUAUCAACUUUCGAUGGUAGGAUAGUGGCCUACCAUGGUGGCAACGGGUAACGGGGAAUUAGGGUUCGAUUCCGGAGAGGGAGCCUGAGAAACGGCUACCACAUCCAAGGAAGGCAGCAGGCGCGCAAAUUACCCAAUCCCGAUCCGGGGAGGUAGUGACAAUAAAUACUGAUACAGGGCUCUUUUGGGUCUUGUAAUUGGAAUGAGUACAAUCUAAAUCCCUUAACGAGGAACAAUUGGAGGGCAAGUCUGGU